rnacentral:tRNA from 1 species
ACUACUUUAGUUUAUUAAAACACUAUUUUUGUAAUAUAGAAAUCCUUAAACCUAUCUUGAACCCCCGUAAAAA